GAUGAACGCUGGCUACAGGCUUAACACAUGCAAGUCGUGGGGAAACGAUGGAGGCGCUUGCGCCUCUGAGGCGUCGACCGGCGCACGGGUGAGUAACGCGUAUCCAACCUGCCCCGCGGCAAGGGAUAAUCCGCAGAAAUGCGGUCUAAUACCUUAUGUGCUCCGAAGAGGACAUCUGAUUCGGAGCAAAGGCUUGCCGCCGCGGGAUGGGGAUGCGUCUGAUUAGAUAGUAGGCGGGGUAACGGCCCACCUAGUCGUCGAUGGGUAGGGGUUCUGAGAGGAAGGUCCCCCACAUUGGAACUGAGACACGGUCCAAACUCCUACGGGAGGCAGCAGUGAGGAAUAUUGGUCAAUGGGCGAGAGCCUGAACCAGCCAAGUAGCGUGCAGGAAGACGGCCCUAUGGGUUGUAAACUGCUUUUAUACGGGAAUAAAGUUUGCCACGUGUGGCAUUUGCAUGUAC
rnacentral:rRNA from 1 species